CCUACGGGAGGCUGCAGUGGGGAAUAUUGGGCAAUGGGCGCAAGACUGACCCAGCAACGCCGCGUGAAGGAUGAAGGCUUUCGGGUUGUAAACUUCUUUUCUGAGGGACGAAGAAAGUGACGGUACCUACGGAAUAAGCCACGGCUAACUACGUGCCAGCAGCCGCGGUAAUACGUAGGUGGCAAGCGUUAUCCGGAUUUAUUGGGUGUAAAGGGCGUGUAGGCGGGAAAGCAAGUCAGAUGUGAAAAGUCAGGGCUCAACCCUGGGCCUGCAUUUGAAACUGUUUUUCUUGAGUGCUGGAGAGGUAAGCGGAAUUCCGGGUGUAGCGGUGAAAUGCGUAGAUAUACGGAGGAACACCAGUGGCGAAGGCGGAUUGCUGGACAGUAACUGACGCUGAGGCGCGAAAGCGUGGGGAGCAAACAGGAUUAGAUACCCCUGUAGUC
rnacentral:rRNA from 1 species